CGAMGCCGCGUGGGGGAUGACGGUCUUCGGAUUGUAAACCCCUUUCAGUAGGGACGAAGCGCAAGUGACGGUACCUGCAGAAGAAGCACCGGCUAACUACGUGCCAGCAGCCGCGGUAAUACGUAGGGUGCGAGCGUUGUCCGGAAUUACUGGGCGUAAAGAGCUCGUAGGCGGUUUGUCACGUCGUCUGUGAAAUCCCUCGGCUUAACCGGGGGCGUGCAGGCGAUACGGGCAGACUUGAGUACUACAGGGGAGACUGGAAUUCCUGGUGUAGCGGUGAAAUGCGCAGAUAUCAGGAGGAACACCGGUGGCGAAGGCGGGUCUCUGGGUAGUAACYGACGCUGAGGAGCGAAAGCAUGGGUAGCGAACAGGAUUAGAUACCCUGGUAGUCCAUGCCGUAAACGGUGGGCGCUAGGUGUGGGGUYCUUCCACGGACUCCGUGCCGUAGCUAACGCAUUAAGCGCCCCGCCUGGGGAGUACGGCCGCAAGGCUAAAACUCAAAGGAAUUGACGGGGGCCCGCACAAGCGGCGGAGCAUGUGGAUUAAUUYGAUGCAACGCGAAGAACCUUACCUAGGCUUGACAUAUACAGG
rnacentral:rRNA from 1 species